GUAGCCUCUGCUUGCAGCAACUAGAGAAACCUCCUGUGCAGCAAAAAAGCCCCAGCGCAGUCAAAACAUAAAAUAAAUAAAUCUUUUUUUUUUUUUUAAGGGAAAAAAGAGAAAAUACCCGGGGUGGGGGGAGGGGAAUGAAGUUAAUUCUCUCACAUACUUUUAAAGAAUCAUGUCUCUCUAAAACAUUUUAAGAUGCAACUGUCUGAAUUUUAAUAUUGUGUGUGCUUUACUUUUGCAAAGAUUUUUAUUAAUAUGCCCAAAAGGCCGAUGGUCCAUUCGUUUUCAUGAAUCCAAACCAGGUUCUCUAUUUAGUUUUUUUAAGUGAUAAUAAUUAAGGGAUAUCCACGUAAACGAAGAAACAAAAAUACUUCUUUUUGUUAUUGCUUUAGAAAGGAUAUCUUCUAACUUUUUCACGUCUUCCUUCUGACCACAAUCCAAGUAUUUUCAAAAACAGAGUAUUAAAGCAUCGAGUAGGCGGUAACCUAGAAGCCUGAUUACCUAACAACGCUGCUAAUAGGCUGCAGUUACCCUCAGAGCCGAGCGUCAAAGAAACAUCAGACUUUAUGGCUGGUCCUCUGAGCAGCUUCCGAGAUGCCGCGAACCCCUCCCAGUGUUCCCCGGUCGUCUGGCAACCUGGGCACGCCGCGGUUUCGACCCCGCCCCCCGCUACCAUGGCGACGCGGGCUCCGGGUGGUGCUCGAGCCUCCCAGACACAACUCCGCGCUUGCGCUGCACCUGCUGGGGCCGCGGCAACUCCUCAAACCUCCUGCUCUGCCAGUGCUGCGGCCGUGCUCUCACGCCGCUCCUUCGCCUACUCUCAGCGUCGCUUUAGAGUGUGAACGGACGCGGGAUUUCAACUACCUGCUGCUUGGCGAUCCCCUCCCCAAGAGUGAGGGCGGAGGGACCGCCGGCGCAGAAACCCGCUUACCUUUCUCAGCAUCCCUCCACGUCAGCGGGGUCUCCGGCGGGAUCGCCCACCCCGCGCCGAGCUCGGGGCCCACUGUGAGGAAGGUUUCUGGUGCUGGCCGUCAGUUUGUCUGUGAGAGCAUGCAGAAGGUGCUUCUGGAAUUAAGAUCACCCUUCCACAAAGGAUGAGGAAGAGAGCAAAGAUGUGGAAGAGGGAGGGUAGGGAGGUCCAGCUGUGAUGAGUCAGCUGCCCUGUGACGCAGCUCUGAAUCAGGAGCACAGGGACCCAGAAAAGAGCCGGCCAGGCACCCACCCCAGAGAUGCCAUCUAGACCUCAAGGAAGUAGCCGAACCCUAAUGAGGCUCCUCAUUAGCAUGUGCUGAACACAGUAAAAUGUUUGUACACUUGUCUGGAGAUCUUCAAUCUUAUCAGGGACACAGUACUUUGUUAGGUACUGUUGUCUAUGAGGUUUGGCUCAAUGACCACUCUUGUUCAUUCUUCGGUACUAUGAUCAUCUGUAGUCAGAUAAUUUGGAUAGAUGUUUCUUCUGCAUUUGAAAUACACAGAAAUGCACUGUAUUCCCUCCGUGGAUUCCCAAGUUUAUCCAAAAGAAAUGUUAGGCUAAUUAUAUAGGAAGAUCUUUAUCUAAGCCAAAGGCAGGCAGAAAUACACAAGGUAGGCUCUCUCCAAAUUUCAGAAUGCCAUGUUAUUCCCAUAAAUUGCUCUAAUGCAUUAUUGGGACUUGAAUCAAAUGAGAGGAAAUCAAAAGUGGGUAAGAAAGACUCAUAUCUACUGCCCUAAAUUAUUCUAAGCAUCAAAUAAGCAUGUUACCUUGGGGUCCUAAAAGUCACUUUUUAUCAUUUUAAUUGCAUACCCCCAGAGAAGCAGACACAUAAGCAAAACCGACAAACUCUGACAGUGUCAUUAACCACCAGUGCCAAACUUGAUCACUGUAGCACAGGAUUCCCCUCGUGGUGGUGCUGCUCUGUACAAGCAGGCUGCCCUCCACCUACCAGGUAGACUCAGAGAGGAGGGAGGUGGGAUUGAAUUUGAGGUUUCUUAGCAAAUUAACCCGAGUGAGCCUUUAGGAAGUCAGUCAGAUUUCCCCCAAAGCAUUAAUUGUGCAUAUCACUCUGUUGCUUUUGAAGACAUAAGUUGUUACUCUCCACUUUGACUUUUGUUCACUAUUUCAUUCAGCAACUGUCAGUCGAGUAACUAUGUAUAAGGUGAGAUGCCAGGCACCUGGGGAGUUUUUUUUGGUAAAACAAUUGUCCAUAAGGACUUAAAAAUAUAGUGAGAAGAUAACAUCUGUGUGUAUGUCAGUUUUCUAUAAAUUAAGUUGCUUCAGUGUAGCUUUAAAAGAUACACAGUGUGUUACAAAAACACGAUAACUAUGCAUGGUGAUGAAUGUUAACUAGACUUCUUAUCAUUAUUUUGCAGUAUAUACAAUAUCUGGGCUUCCCUGGUGGCUCAGUGGUAAAGAAUCUGCCUGCCAAAGCAGGAGACACUGGUUUGGUCACUGAAUGGGGAUGAUCCCCUGGAGUAGGAAAUGGCAACCCACUCCAGUACUCUUGCCUCGGAUAUCUCAUGGACAGAAGAGCCUGGCAGGCUACAGUCCAUGGGGUCACAAAGAGUCAGAGUCAGACCUGACUGAGCAACUGAGCACACAGGAUGGCAUAUGCAAUACACAUAUCAAAUUACUAUUUGUACACCUGAAACAUUUAAUGUUACAUGUCAGUUUAUCUCAAUUUAAAAAGGGCAAUUUCCAACCAAAAGAAGACACAAUUUGAGGAAUUAUGUGAAACAUGGUUUUAUAAAGCCAAGAAUCCAACUGUAAUAUGAAUAACAGCCUUUACUUGAUUUUUAACUUGGAAUACUGGUAUAAAACAUAUUUGUAAAGUUGAGAGGAGUCUGAGAAAUGGCAGAUUUCUUCCUGAAAGUUUUUCUGGAUGACCUGGGUGGGGAAAGGUGAUGGAGACGACAAGGGAUUGGACAAGGACAUGGAGAAAAGAGGUAGGGAGAUGGCCAGGGUGGGAAUGGGGACCCCCAAGAGUGGGGAGAGAUGAGGACACCAAGUUCAAAGGAGCCUCUAACUCAAGGCAGAGAGGUUCUGAUAAAUAUGAUUCAGUGCCCAGUGUCCCCUGAGAGGGGCUGGAGGCUAUGAUCGGUGGUCAUAGUUCAGAACUCCCAUCUUGGCAGCAGAACAAGCACAGAUGUUAGUUGUCCAGGAAUUGUUGCCAUGGGGCUCAGCCCAGGUACAGGAGGGUCAGACAAGUUCAAGGAAUGUGGAGAGAGAGAAAGUCAGCUCAGGAGGAGAUGGUUGGGAACAGUCUCCAAUGGACACAAAUCAAGUAAAGGCUGUUACCUGAGACAUGAAGGAAGUGAGAUGAGCUGGGCUGCUCUGUGGGGGAGACUUUCAGAAAGAGAGCCAGCAAGUGUGCGAAGCCAGAGAUGCACAGUUUAAUGGGCUAAAAGCAUUGGGACUCACUUGUCUGCUCAUGUCUUCUCCUUGCCACUAGAAUGAAGCACCACCGUUUACCCAGUAAGCUGAAAACUCCCCCACAAAGCCUUAAGAGAUUUAGCGUGUCUCUGAGAUUACAGUCCAGAGCAGACUGUUAUCUUUCUUUAAAGUGUAAUCACAUAAGUAAGACACAUGGAUCGUGAAUGUACAGUUUGAUAAGCUUUGAUAAAUGUAUACACUUGUGUAAUUACCACCUUAAUAAAGACAGAGCAGAAAUUUCCCUCA
rnacentral:lncRNA from 1 species